rnacentral:rRNA from 1 species
GAUGAACGCUGGCGGCGUGCUUAAUACAUGCAAGUCGAGCGAACAGACGAGGAGCUUGCUCCUCUGACGUUAGCGGCGGACGGGUGAGAAACACGUGGAUAACCUACCUAUAAGACUGGGAUAACUUCGGGAAUCCGGAGCUAAUACCGGAUAAUAUAUUGAACCGCAUGGUUCAAUAGUGAAAGACGGUUUUGCUGGCACUUAUAGAUGGAUCCCCGCCGCAUUAGCUAGUUGGUAAGGUAACGGCUUAUCAAGGCAACGAUGCGUAGCCGACCUGAGAGGGUGGUCGGCCGCACUGGAACUGGGACACGGUCCAGGCUCCUGCGGGAGGCAGCAGUAGGGAAUCUUCCGCAGUGGGCGGAAGCUUGACGGAGCGACGCCGCGUGAGUGAUGAAGGUCUUCGGAUCGUAAAGCUCUGUUAUUAGGUGAGAACAACUGUGUAAGUAACUAUGCACGUCUUGACGGUACCUAAUCAGAAAGCCACGGCUAACUACGUG